rnacentral:lncRNA from 1 species
GGGAAAUAAAAUCCAUUAACUAAAUACCUUUGGAAUAUCUUCCAAGGUUCUUCUUUUCUCUGUAUGUCAGAGUUUUCUAAGAGAAAUAUCAUUUCUCUUUUCUCUACCUUUUCAUAUGUUUUGAUAUCAUCAACUUCUUCUUUGGCGAUUGAAGCAAAAGAAUCACCUUGCUUUUGAGUUAGAAACUCCUGUAGUUUAGCAUAUAAUGGAUCACUUUCUGGAAUAUCUUCCAGAUGUAU